rnacentral:rRNA from 1 species
UACGAAGGGGGCUAGCGUUGUUCGGAAUUACUGGGCGUAAAGCGUACGUAGGCGGAUUGUUAAGUGAGGGGUGAAAUCCCGAGGCUCAACCUCGGAACUGCCUUUCAUACUGGCAAUCUUGAGUCCGGGAGAGGUGAGUGGAACAAGCGGUGGAGCGGUGAAAUGCGUAGAUAUCGCUUGGAACGCCAACGGUGAAAACAGCUCGCUGGGGGUGUGCUGACGCUGAGACACGAAAGCCAGGGGAGCGAACGGG